UACGUAGGGUGCGAGCGUUGUCCGGAAUUAUUGGGCGUAAAGGGCUCGUAGGCGGUUUGUCGCGUCGGGAGUGAAAACCUUGGGCUUAACUCAGGGCUUGCUUUCGAUACGGGCAGACUAGAGGUAUGCAGGGGAGAACGGAAUUCCUGGUGUAGCGGUGAAAUGCGCAGAUAUCAGGAGGAACACCGGUGGCGAAGGCGGUUCUCUGGGCAUGAUCUGACGCUGAGGAGCGAAAGCUAGGGGAGCGAACAGG
rnacentral:rRNA from 1 species